GAUGAACGCUAGCGGCAGGCCUAAUACAUGCAAGUCGAACGAUAGAAGAGGGCUUGCCCUCUUCGAAAGUGGCGCACGGGUGCGUAACGCGUAUGCCACCUACCUUAAUAAGGGGGAUAGCCCGAAGAAAUUCGGAUUAACACCGCAUAAAAUCACAGUACAGCAUUGUACAAUGAUCAAAUAUUUAUAGGAUUAAGAUGGGCAUGCGUGACAUUAGCUAGUUGGCGGGGUAACGGCACACCAAGGCGACGAUGUCUAGGGGAUCUGAGAGGAUGACCCCCCACACUGGUACUGAGACACGGACCAGACUCCUACGGGAGGCGGCAGUAAGGAAAAUUGGUCAAUGGAGGCAACUCUGAACCAGCCAUGCCGCGUGCAGGAAGACGGCCCUCUGGGUUGUAAACUGCUUUUAUUCGGGAAUAAACCUCAUUACGUGUAAUGAGCUGAAUGUACCGAAGGAAUAAGGAUCGGCUAACUCCGUGCCAGCCGCCGCGGUAA
rnacentral:rRNA from 1 species